rnacentral:lncRNA from 1 species
AUGUGGUACUAUCAAAGCCUUUGUGGUUAAAUUUACUUUUAAUCAUUUUUGCUUUAUUAUCUUUUGGCAGCUGGAAAAUCUACCAUUAAUCUUCGUGAAAAGAAAUUAAACUUUAAACCUUGCACACUAAAAAGAAAAAGCUGCUAAGGACAGAUGGAAUUUCUUCUCCUGGGCUCUAGUCCCUGUUUUCCGCACCAGCUGUGGACCUUCAUCCUGGCCACUAAGGGACUUGGCUUUGAUCAUAUUCCAAAGAUCUGGCAAUUAAUUAGCAUGAGCGAUAUUGUUAAGAAGUUACGCAAAGAAGUCAUAGUCAUUCUAUUGUAACCCGUGUUCCUUCACCUUAAAAAAAUUCUGAGUAGAUGAGUAUGAUUCAGGAGAAGACAUCGUCAAUUAAUUCUAAAGAUGAUCACUGAUGACCUGAACUUUUUCUAGUAUUUGGGGAAGGGUCAAGGAUAUUGGCAACAUUCUUCAAAGAAGCAGUGGUUUCUAGUGCGCCUCAGUGGUAGUUGGACUAGAGAUGGUUUUGCUAUCAUUGAAUUCUAUGGGGAGUGGGAGGGCUCUGAUUAACUUGACUCUUGAUUUAACAAAGGAAAGCUCCCCACUUCUAGAGUGGAAGAAACCCUCCUGGGAAGUAGAAGAUAUAAUUAAAUUGCCUGGAAAUUGGAUUUUACGUAAGCAGUUUACAGAUGCAUUAUACAGACGCAUAUUUAGAAGAGGAAGUAUACACGGAAGAGGCCCAGCAAAUGGUGUUGCAGAACCUAUCCCGAGAUAA